rnacentral:rRNA from 1 species
AGCGAAAGCGAGUCUGAAUAGGGCGCAUAAGUAACAGGUCGUAGACCCGAAACCAGGUGAUCUACCCAUGUCCAGGAUGAAGGUAAGGUAAUACUUACUGGAGGUCCGAACCCACGCACGUUGAAAAGUGCGGGGAUGAGGUGUGGGUAGCGGAGAAAUUCCAAUCGAACUUGGAGAUAGCUGGUUCUCUCCGAAAUAGCUUUAGGGCUAGCCUCGAGGUAAAGAGUCAUGGAGGUAGAGCACUGUUUGGACUAGGGGCCCUUCUCGGGUUACCGAAUUCAGAUAAACUCCGAAUGCCAUGUACUUAUACUCGGGAGUCAGACUGCGAGUGAUAAGAUCCGUAGUCGAAAGGGAAACAGCCCAGACCACCAGUUAAGGUCCCCAAAUAUAUGUUAAGUGGAAAAGGAUGUGGGGUUGCUUAGACAACCAGGAUGUUGGCUUAGAAGCAGCCACCAUUGAAAGAGUGCGUAAUAGCUCACUGGUCGAGUGACCCCGCGCCGAAAAUGUACCGGGGCUAAACAUAUUACCGAAACUGUGGAUGAACCUCUUUAGAGGUUCGUGGUAGGAGAGCGUUCUAAGGGCGGUGAAGUCAGACCGGAAGGACUGGUGGAGCGCUUAGAAGUGAGAAUGCCGGUAUGAGUAGCGAAAGAAGGGUGAGAAUCCCUUCCACCGAAUAUCUAAGGUUUCCUGAGGAAGGCUCGUCCGCUCAGGGUUAGUCGGGACCUAAGCCGAGGCCGAUAGGCGUAGGCGAUGGACAACAGGUAGAGAUUCCUGUACCAGUGCUAAUUGUUUAACCGAUGGGGUGACACAGAAGGAUAGGGAAUCGCACGAAUGGAAAUGUGCGUCCAAGCAGUGAGUGUGAGAAGUAGGCAAAUCCGCUUCUCGCGAAGCAUGAGCUGUGAUGGGGAAGGAAAUUAAGUACGGAAGUUCCUGAUUUCACGCUGUCAAGAAAAGCCUCUAGGAAGAGUAGUACUGCCCGUACCGCAAACCGACACAGGUAGAUGAGGAGAGAAUCCUAAGGUGAGCGAGAGAACUCUCGUUAAGGAACUCGGCAAAAUGACCCCGUAACUUCGGGAGAAGGGGUGCUCUAUUAGGGUGCAAGCCCGAGAGAGCCGCAGUGAAUAGGCCCAGGCGACUGUUUAGCAAAAACACAGGUCUCUGCAAAACCGUAAGGUGACGUAUAGGGGCUGACGCCUGCCCGGUGCUGGAAGGUUAAGAGGAGUGCUUAGCUUCGGCGAAGGUACGAAUUGAAGCCCCAGUAAACGGCGGCCGUAACUAUAACGGUCCUAAGGUAGCGAAAUUCCUUGUCGGGUAAGUUCCGACCCGCACGAAAGGCGCAACGAUCUGGGCACUGUCUCAACGAGAGACUCGGUGAAAUUAUAGUACCUGUGAAGAUGCAGGUUACCCGCGACAGGACGGAAAGACCCCGUGGAGCUUUACUGCAACCUGAUAUGGAAUGUUUGUACCGCUUGUACAGGAUAGGUAGGAGCCGAAGAGACGUGUGCGCUAGCAUACGAGGAGGCAAUGGUGGGAUACUACCCUGGCUGUAUGACCAUUCUAACCCGCCACGCUUAGCGCGUGGGGAGACAGUGUCAGGUGGGCAGUUUGACUGGGGCGGUCGCCUCCUAAAGAGUAACGGAGGCGCCCAAAGGUUCCCUCAGAAUGGAUGGAAAUCAUUCGCAGAGUGUAAAGGCACAAGGGAGCUUGACUGCGAGACUGACAAGUCGAGCAGGGACGAAAGUCGGGCUUAGUGAUCCGGUGGUUCCGCAUGGAAGGGCCAUCGCUCAACGGAUAAAAGCUACCCCGGGGAUAACAGGCUUAUCUCCCCCAAGAGUCCACAUCGACGGGGAGGUUUGGCACCUCGAUGUCGGCUCGUCGCAUCCUGGGGCUGUAGUCGGUCCCAAGGGUUGGGCUGUUCGCCCAUUAAAGCGGCACGCGAGCUGGGUUCAGAACGUCGUGAGACAGUUCGGUCCCUAUCCGUCGCGGGCGCAGGAAAUUUGAGAGGAGCUGUCCUUAGUACGAGAGGACCGGGAUGGACACACCGCUGGUGUACCAGUUGUUCCGCCAGGAGCAUCGCUGGGUAGCUAUGUGUGGCAGGGAUAAACGCUGAAAGCAUCUAAGCGUGAAGCCCCCCUCAAGAUGAGAUUUCCCAUUUCUUCGGAAAGUAAGAUCCCUGAAAGAUGAUCAGGUAGAUAGGUUUGGAGUGGAAGUGUAGCGAUACAUGGAGCGGACAAAUACUAAUCGAUCGAGGACUUAACCAAAA